AGAGUUUGAUCCUGGCUCAGAGCGAACGCUGGCGGCAGGCCUAACACAUGCAAGUCGAACGGAUCCUUCGGGAUUAGUGGCGGACGGGUGAGUAACACGUGGGAACGUGCCCUUUGGUUCGGAACAACUCAGGGAAACUUGAGCUAAUACCGGAUGUGCCCUUCGGGGGAAAGAUUUAUCGCCAUUGGAGCGGCCCGCGUCUGAUUAGCUAGUUGGUGGGGUAAAGGCCCACCAAGGCGACGAUCAGUAGCUGGUCUGAGAGGAUGAUCAGCCACAUUGGGACUGAGACACGGCCCAAACUCCUACGGGAGGCAGCAGUGGGGAAUCUUGCGCAAUGGGCGAAAGCCUGGCGCAGCCAUGCCGCGUGAAUGAUGAAGGUCUUAGGAUUGUAAAAUUCUUUCACCGGGGACGAUAAUGACGGUACCCGGAGAAGAAGCCCCGGCUAACUUCGUGCCAGCAGCCGCGGUAAUACGAAGGGGGCUAGCGUUGCUCGGAAUUACUGGGCGUAAAGGGAGCGUAGGCGGACUGUUUAGUCAGAGGUGAAAGCCCAGGGCUCAACCUUGGAAUUGCCUUUGAUACUGGCAGUCUUGAGUACGGAAGAGGUAUGUGGAACUCCGAGUGUAGAGGUGAAAUUCGUAGAUAUUCGGAAGAACACCAGUGGCGAAGGCGACAUACUGGUCCGUUACUGACGCUGAGGCUCGAAAGCGUGGGGAGCAAACAGGAUUAGAUACCCUGGUAGUCCACGCCGUAAACGAUGAGUGCUAGUUGUCGGCAUGCAUGCAUGUCGGUGACGCAGCUAACGCAUUAAGCACUCCGCCUGGGGAGUACGGUCGCAAGAUUAAAACUCAAGGAAUUGACGG
rnacentral:rRNA from 1 species